AUAGUCAAGUUAGGGUGCACAUACAGGAGUGCAUUUGAAAGUCUAAUUCCUGCUCUCUCUUCUCUGACACGCCGAUGCGGUGAUCCAUGGAGACGUCCCGCCAUUUUCACCUUCACAUCAAAAAGCAAGGGGGACGUGCAUGAGACAUCCAUACCGACAGCGCCGUGGAGUUGAACUCCCUCCAGAGGAGCUUCAACGCCCCGAUGUGUUAGCGUCAUCCAGCCCGGGCCGGGACCGGGAAGCAGCAAGGAAGAUUAUGUUUGGCUGUCAGGCAGGAAGAGGGACGCAACUUGAUGCGUAGAACAACGGCCUGGUGAGGAUAAGCGGCAUAGAAAAUGAAUGGAUGAAUUUUCACAUAUCUGAAAUAGCCUCAUUCCUGUAAUUGACACCCUGUCUGGUUUUGGUAAACACUGUACACUCAUAGGCUAUACUUUCACAGUUAUUGUGUGUGUU